GACCUUCCCUAGGUUCGACCUCAGUGGGCAAGCUGGUUGGAGUUUCUCCACGGACCCUCUCCCACAGGCUGUCUCAGAAGUUUUGGAGGCUAGAAGUAAAGAAGUCAAGGUGUUGUAAGGGGAGUGCUGUCACUAAAACAGGUUAUUUGAUAAUUAUCAAGCACUGUUCCAAGAAUGAGGAUUUCAGUAUUAGGAAUUCAGGAGCAGUUUGGUUUGACAGUUCUGAUUCUAGGAUUUUCAUGAGGUUGGCGUCAGAUCUCAGCUGGAGCUGCAGGCAUCUGAUGGUUUGAAGUUGGAGGAUCCAUCCCCAAGAUGGAGUUUCACUUUUUUUAACCAGGUUGGAGUGCAAUGACGCGAUCUCGG
rnacentral:lncRNA from 1 species